rnacentral:rRNA from 1 species
CCUACGGGAGGCAGCAGUGGGGAAUAUUGCACAAUGGGGGAAACCCUGAUGCAGCGACGCCGCGUGAGUGAAGAAGUAAUUCGUUAUGUAAAGCUCUAUCAGCAGGGAAGAAAAUGACGGUACCUGAGUAAGAAGCCCCGGCUAACUACGUGCCAGCAGCCGCGGUAAUACGUAGGGGGCAAGCGGUAUCCGGAUUUACUGGGUGUAACGGGAGCGUAGACGGCAGUGCAAGUCUGGAGUGAAAGGCGGGGGCUCAACCCCCGGACUGCUCUGGAAACGGUACGGCUGGAGUGCAGGAGAGGUAAGUGGAAUUCCUAGUGUAGCGGUGAAAUGCGUAGAUAUUAGGAGGAACACCAGUGGCGAAGGCGGCUUACUGGACUGUAACUGACGUUGAGGCUCGAAAGCGUGGGGAGCAAACAGGAUUAGAUACCCGAGUAGU